rnacentral:lncRNA from 1 species
UACAAUUUAGGAAGCUAUCAUGGCAAACUCAACUUGCCCAUGAUAGGAGACUAUCAAAGAUUAAAAGCUGACAUCAAAUGCAAGGCUGAAUUUGCUUUAUUAUCUUGUUUUAAUGACAGUGGGAUGAACCUCUCUCAUUUAUUCUUUGUCGACAACUUCAAAUCAAGUCAGGGAAGGCUGCAAGAGAGAAUGCCAGGGCCAUUCGGCGGUCAUCACAAUUGCUGUCUAGUUUAAUUUCUCGGAUGGAGGAAUGAUUACACAAUAAUCUGGCCCUUCUUCAACUCUUGCUCCGAGCAUCAUCUAAAGGAUUUGUAUAAGAAUAAAGGUAGCUAGAAUCUACCUUCUGAGUUGUGUCUGUGCAUACAGCAAUCAUUCUUUCAGUCUCCUUUUGCUGCUGAAAAGAACCAGGGAAAUAGUCUUUAGUUGGGAAGAAGAAGAAGAGGAGGAGGAGGAGGAGAAGAAAUAUGCAUAUUUCAACAUCCAAAUAUAAUGUUCAUCCCCAGAAAUCACUUAUUGCUCAGAACUACUGAUAAUAAAAAAAGUAAGCAUCAUUUUUAAAUCAAAUGCAUUUUGGGCUUGAUGUUUCCCAUUAAACUGCAGCAAAGGUUUCAAGCUUGUAAGUGUUGUUUCAUUCCUUAGGGUGCAAAGGACUUGCCAGAAGCAGUGCAAAGAAUGAAAG